UACGGAGGGAGCUAGCGUUGUUCGGAAUUACUGGGCGUAAAGCGCGCGUAGGCGGCUUUGUAAGUUAGAGGUGAAAGCCCGGGGCUCAACCCCGGAACAGCCUUUAAGACUGCAUCGCUAGAAUCCGGGAGAGGUGAGUGGAAUUCCGAGUGUAGAGGUGAAAUUCGUAGAUAUCGGGAGGAACACCAGUGGCGAAGGCGGCGAUCUGGGUCGAUACUGACGCUGAGGUGCGAAAGCGUGGGGAGCAAACAGG
rnacentral:rRNA from 1 species